rnacentral:rRNA from 1 species
GGAUUGGAAAUGGGGGAACCCUGAUCCAGCGACGCCGCGUGUGUGAAGAAGGCCUGCGGGUUGUAAAGCACUUUUAGUGGGGAUGAAAAGUGCAGAGCUAACACCUCUGCAUCUUGACCUAACCCACAGAAAAAGCACCGGCUAACUCUGUGCCAGCAGCCGCGGUAAUACAGAGGGUGCGAGCGUUAAUCGGAAUUACUGGGCGUAAAGCGUGCGUAGACGGUCGUGUAAGUCGGGUGUGAAAGCCCCGGGCUCAACCUGGGAAUUGCAUUCGAGACUGCAUGGCUAGGGUGCGGAAGAGGGAAGCGGAAUUUCCGGUGUAGCGGUGAAAUGCGUAGAUAUCGGAAGGAACACCAGUGGCGAAAGCGGCUUCCUGGUCCGACACCGACGUUCAGGCACGAAAGCGUGGGGAGCAAACAGGAUUAGAUACCCUGGUAGUCCACGCCAUAAACGAUGAGAACUAGACGUUGAGGGGGUAAGCCUCUCAGUGUCGUAGCUAACGCGCUAAGUCCUCCGCCUGGGGAGUACGGCCGCAAGGUUGAAACUCAAAGAAAUUGACGGA